AUGCGGUAUGACGGUACCCUUUCGAAUAAGAGGUUGCUAACUCUGUGCCAGCAGCAGCGGUAAUACAGAGACCUCGAGCGUUAUCCGGAUUUACUGGGCGUAAAGCGUCUGUAGGGGGUUUGUUAAGUUCCAAGUAAAAUCUUAAGGCUCAACUUUAAGUUCGCUUGGAAAACUAAUAAACUGGAGUCCAGCAGAGGUGCAUGGAACUUUGCGGUGUAGGAGUGAAAUCCGUUGAUAUCGCAAGGAACACCAUAGGCGAAGGCAUUGCACUGGGCUGGUACUGACCCUGAGAGACGAAAGCGUGGGGAGCAAAACGGAUUAGAUACCCGUGUAGUCCACGCCGUAAACGAUGGAUACUAGAUGUUCGGGGAUUCGACCCCCUGGGUGUCACAGCUAACGCGUUAAGUAUCCCGCCUGGGAAGUACGGCCGCAAGGCUAAAACUCAAAGGAAUAGACGGGGAUCCGCACAAGCGGUGGAGCGUCUGGUUUAAUUUGAUAGUAAGCAAUGGACCUCACCAAGGUUUGACAUCCUAUGACAACCCUGGAAACAGGGCUUCCUUCGGGCAUAGUGACAGGUGCUGCAUGGUCGUCGUCAGUUCGUGCCGUGAGGUGUUCCGUUAAGUCGGGAAACGAACGAAACCCUCGUCGCAUGUUACAAAUUUCAUGCGAGACUGCCCGGGUCAACCGGGAGGAAGGCGGGGAUGACGUCAGAUCAGCAUGGCCCUUAUACCUUGGGCUACACAGGCGCUACAAUGGCCGGUACAAAGGGUUGCAAAACCGCGAGGUGAAGCUAAUCCCAUAAAGCCGGUCCAAGUUCGGAUUGGAGGCUGCAACUCGCCUCCAUGAAGUUGGAAUCGCUAGUAAUCGUGGAUCAGCCAUACCACGGUGAUACGUUCCCGGAUCUGUACUCACCGCCCGUCAC
rnacentral:rRNA from 1 species